rnacentral:lncRNA from 1 species
GCUUGACCAGUAUGAAGGCAUAUUCUGAUAUCUGUUUCCUGGAGUUAGAGUAUUCACAAUACUUUCUUCUGGAUAAUGGUCCGUACUUGAAGCGCUAACUGCACUACCUAUGCAAUCACUUAGACAUGAUUUUGAUGUUCCAAUAGCUUGAAGUAGAGAAGCAUAAACAUUAUGGUCUCUUUUUAAAGUCUCCCAACUGGAAUUGCUAGACUCAUCAUCUUUUCCUUCUGCAACUCUCAGAUCUGGUUCUGUAAUACGGGCUAUUCUCAAGAGCUGCGGAAACUUUCUCAAACAAAGUUGUUUGGAAAUUCCAUUAGUAACCACUGCAAACAAAUAAUUAUACCUUCAACUCAUUGUUCUCCCAAAUGAUAGUAACCUUCAAUGACCUCCAUGUAGCAAAAAAUGGCAUCCCUAAAUUCUUGAAGAAAUGCUUUGUAUAGCAUCAAUUUUCGGAAUAAAAGAACAUGAAAAUUUCUGAAAUUUUUUUCUGAAAAAAUUGAUGACAUAUCAUUAAGCCAGAAGUAGUUGAUACACUUAAAAUUACAUGGAAUGUAGUUGUCUUUCUCUCAGAACCAACAUAGAUUUAGCUAAGAAGAGAAAAAAAUAUAGUGAAGGAUCCAUAUAGGGAUAAACAUGAAAUUUCUAGAAUAACUAGUUGUUGAUUGUGCGAACCAAAGUACUUCAUUGGUAGCUGAAGGGAUUGGAAAGCUACAUAUAAGAUUUAGGAUCUCUUAAUGGAGUGAGGCUUUUUGGGCAUAAUCGUGCAGUCUUGGCCCAAAGCGGACAAUAUCACAAUGUAAAAGUGUUAUUAGGCUUGCUGAGCCAACAACUGGUAUCAUAGCCCAGGUUUGGUGGGAUGAGUAUGGUGAUAUGAUAGAGUGAUAUGGUACCGGGCUCGAUCUACUUACCCAAGUGAAUCUCGGAAAUUGACCCAUGGAUCGUGGUGCUAGGCCUCAUGGAACUUAGUUUCGGGGGGAGAUUGUUGGAUGUGGGUGACACACAGUGAAUCUUGGGAAUUGACCUCUGGAUCGUGGUGAUGGGCCAUGUGGAACUUAGUUCAAGGGGGAGAUUGUUGGGUGUGUGAACAAAGUUCCACAUUGGUAGCUUAAGGGAUUGGGGAAGCUACAAAGAAG